GUGGUUGCUAUAGGAUAUAAAGUACUAAAUGGUGGCCCCAUUGCCGGCAAUGCUAUUUUUAGCAAUUAUCUCCUUAAAAGGCGCUUUUAAUAAACUAAUUAUGGAAAAACUGCUGUUGUCUGAUUGAAGCUCGAUAUCUAUUUGCGAUUUUACCGCACUCAAAUAUGUAUGGUCCCAUGGCUUUUCUUGGUGAAUUUUAGGGUUUUUCACGAUACCUGACGAUUUCGCAGAAAAAUUUCCCUAACUUUGAGCAACAUAAAAAAAUAUUUCCGGCCCUUCAUACUAUACAUUUAAGGACAAAUUUGUGCUUGCAUGAAACUUCAUUCAUAAUACUUUCCAGAAGAAAAAUAUAUAAAAGAUAUAACAACCAAUCACAGAGAGCCAUCUAUUUUUAUCUCUAUGUCAUGUUCCCUUCAUAAAAUGGCUGCGCCC
rnacentral:lncRNA from 1 species